AACGAACGCUGGCGGCGUGCCUAACACAUGCAAGUCGAGCGAGAAAAAGGGGGGCGAACUCCCUCGAGUACAGCGGCGCACGGGUGAGUAACACGUAGGUGAUCUCCCUCCGAGCCCGGAACUAACCUACCGAAAGGUGGGCUAAUACCGGAUAUGACCACGGAAGCCACGCUUCUGCGGUGAAAGAUGGCCUCUACCUGUAAGCUAUCACUCAAGGAUGAGCCUGCGUGCCAUUAGCUAGUUGGCGAGGUAACGGCUCACCAAGGC
rnacentral:rRNA from 1 species